rnacentral:lncRNA from 1 species
ACUUGAUGAAACAUUAACUGGUAUCUGGAAGGACAAUUUUCUUUCCAUGAUUUCUUCACAGAGGAGUGGACGGUCUAUUCUGUCAUCACUGAUGAAUCCAUGUGAGACGAGAGUUGAGUUCAUGCUUUGGAGUUCAUGGUUUAUUAAUAAUGUAUCCCACGCUAAACACAUUGAUUCUGGGUGUGAUAUUUUCCAAGUAAUUCAAACCUCAUUGAUUCAUUAGUACGGAUAUACAAAACCAAGAAUAUUGAAGUUAUACACUGAAGGGUAAAGCUUUGGCCAUACUUGGUG